GAUCUGUUACACUCCUGAAACAUAAAGAUGAUUUGUUUUCUGAUAAGUGUAUUUCUGCUUUCUGUACAAGGCUCCUGUGGACAGAUUGUGAUGACUCAGUUUCCAGAAUUUCUUACUGUGUCAUCAGGAGAAAGUGUCACCGUGAAAUGUGAAGCCAGUGAUUACAUAAAUGAUGAGAUAGCCUGGUACCAGCAGAAACCAGGACAAUCUCCAAAGCUUCUUAUCUAUGAUGCAGAAAUCAAAUACACAGGGACCUCAGACAGGUUCAGCGGCAGUGGCAGUGGGUCUGGUACUGAUUACACUCUCACAAUCAGCGGAGCACAAGCAGAAGAUGUAGCAGAUUAUUACUGUCAGCAGGGUUAUGAGUCACCUCUCACAGUGAUACAGAGCUGCUCUGGGGACAGCUCCUUAGACAUUUCAGCUGCUAUAAACAUUUUGUCAUUGAAGCUUCAGUGA